AGGAAUGUUUGGGUGAUCUGAGGAGUCCUAUUUUGCAUUGAAGUCAGGAUUAGAUCGACCUGAGGUCUUUAAAGAGACCCUGUGGCAACAAAGAGCGGUAUGGUAGCAGUAGGCAAUCGAUAGGAUCCUGUGCAUAGAACAGAGGGUGGUUCAGCAGUAGCAAAUUCUGAAGAGAGGCACUGAUAGAGAGCAGAAGCAAAGAAGCUUUGAGCAGACUGUCAGGCAGUAGACAGC
rnacentral:lncRNA from 1 species